rnacentral:lncRNA from 1 species
CAUGGGAUCAGCUGUGUGCUCCCAGCUUUCCCAGGGCAUUCCCGUGGGAAAUGUGUGUGUUCCCGGCAUUCCCAUGGGAUCAGCUGUGUGCUCCCGGCUUUCCCAGAGCAUUCCCAUGGAAUUGGCUUUGUGUACUCCAUGGGAUCUGCUGUGCGUAUUCCGGGCACUCCCAUGGGAUCCACUGUGUGUUCCCGGCAUUCCCAGAGCAUUCCCAUGGAAUUGGCUUUGUGUAUUCCAUGGGAUCUGCUGUGCAUAUUCCAGGCACUCCCAUGGGAUCGGCUGUGGUUCCCAGCAUUCCCAUGGGAUCAGCUCUGUGUCUUCCUGGCAUUUCUGCAGAUUUCCAUGGGAUCAGCUGUGUGUUCCCGGCACUCCCAUGGGAUCAACUAUGUGUUUCUGGUAUUCCCAGAGUGUUCCCAUGGGAUCAGCUCUGUGUGUUCCUGGCAUUCCCAUGGGAUCGGCUGUGGUUCCCAGCACUCCCAGAGCAUUCCCGUGGGAUCAGCUGUGUGCAUUCCCAGCUUUCCCGUGGGAUCAGCUGUGGUUCCCAGCAUUCUCAUGGGAUCGGCUCUGUGCCUUCCUGGCAUUUCUGCAGCUUUCCAUGGGAUCCGCUGUGGUUCCUUGCAUUCCCAGAGCAUUCCCAUGGGAAAUGUGUGUGUGCUGGCAUUCCCAUGGGAUCAGCUGCGUGUUUCCGGCAUUCCCAGAGCAUUCCCAUGGGAUUGGCUGUGUGUUCCCGGCAUUUCUGCAGCUUUCCAUGGAAUUGUCUGCAUGUUCCUGGCAUUCCCAGAGCAUUCCCGUGGGAAAUGUGUGUUUGCCGGCAUUCCCAUGGGAUCAGCUGUGUGUUCCCGGCUUUCCCAGAGCAUUCCCGUGGGAUCGGCUCUGUGUGUUCCUGGCAUUUCUGCAGCUUUCCAUGGAAUUGUCUGCAUGUUCCUGGCAUUCCCAGAGC